CUAACACAUGCAAGUCGAACGGGGUUAUUUAGGAAUGUUCCUUCGGGGACAGGAAUUCUUAACCUAGUGGCGGACGGGUGAGUAACGCGUGAGCAAUCUGCCUUUAGGAGGGGGAUAACAGUCGGAAACGGCUGCUAAUACCGCAUGAUACACUGAGGAGGCAUCUCUUUGGUGUCAAAGGAGCAAUCCGCCUUUAGAUGAGCUCGCGUCUGAUUAGCCAGUUGGCGGGGUAACGGCCCACCAAGGCGACGAUCAGUAGCCGGACUGAGAGGUUGAACGGCCACAUUGGGACUGAGACACGGCCCAGACUCCUACGGGAGGCAGCAGUGGGGAAUAUUGCGCAAUGGGGGCAACCCUGACGCAGCAACGCCGCGUGAUUGAAGA
rnacentral:rRNA from 1 species